rnacentral:rRNA from 1 species
UACGUAGGGUGCAAGCGUUAAAUCGGAAUUACUGGGCGUAAAGCGUGCGCAGGCGGUGAUGUAAGACAGAUGUGAAAUCCCCGGGCUCAACCUGGGAACUGCAUUUGUGACUGCAUCGCUGGAGUGCGGCAGAGGGGGAUGGAAUCCGCGUGUAGCAGUGAAAUGCGUAGAUAUGCGGAGGAACACCGAUGGCGAAGGCAAUCCCCUGGCGCACUGACGCUCAUGCACGAAAGCGUGGGAGCAACAGG